rnacentral:rRNA from 1 species
AUUGAACGCUGGCGGCAUGCUUUACACAUGCAAGUCGAACGGUAACAGGCCGCAAGGUGCUGACGAGUGGCGAACGGGUGAGUAAUGCAUCGGAACGUGCCCAGUCGUGGGGGAUAACGCAGCGAAAGCUGCGCUAAUACCGCAUACGAUCUAUAGAUGAAAGCGGGGGACCGUAAGGCCUCGCGCGAUUGGAGCGGCCGAUGUCAGAUUAGGUAGUUGGUGGGGUAAAGGCUCACCAAGCCAACGGUCUGUAGCUGGUCUGAGAGGACGACCAGCCGCAGUAGGACUGAGACACGGCCCAGACUCGUACGGGAGGCAGCAGUGGGGAAUUUUGGACAAUGGGCGCAAGCCUGAUCCAGCAAUGCCGCGUGCAGGAAGAAGGCCUUCGGGUUGUAAAAUGCUUUUGUACGGAACGAAACGGCUCUGGUUAAUACCUGGGGCUAAUGACGGUACCGUAAGAAUAAGCACCGGCUAACUACGUGCCAGCAGCCGCCGUAACAC